rnacentral:rRNA from 1 species
UACGUAGGCAGCGAGCGUUGUUCGGAGUUACUGGGCGUAAAGAGUGCGUAGGCGGUUUUCUAAGUUUGGUGUGAAAUCUCCCGGCUUAACUGGGAGGGUGCGCCGAAGACUGGAAGGCUUGAGUAUGGGAGAGGUAAGCGGAAUUCCUGGAUGUAGCGGUGAAAUGCGUAGAUAUCAGGAGGAACACCUGCGGUGUAGACGGCUUACUGGACCAUAACUGACGCUGAGGCACGAAAGCGUGGGUAGCAAACAGG